rnacentral:rRNA from 1 species
AACGAACGCUGGCGGCAGGCCUAACACAUGCAAGUCGAGCGGGGGAGCAAUCCCUAGCGGCGGACGGGUUAGUAACGCGUGGGAACAUACCCUUUGGUACGGAAUAGCCUCGGGAAACUGAGAGUAAUACCGUAUGUGCCCUUCGGGGGAAAGAUUUAUCGCCAAAGGAUUGGCCCGCGUUGGAUUAGGUAGUUGGUGGGGUAAUGGCCUACCAAGCCUACGAUCCAUAGCUGGUUUGAGAGGAUGAUCAGCAACACUGGGACUGAGACACGGCCCAGACUCCUACGGGAGGCAGCAGUGGGGAAUCUUAGACAAUGGGCGCAAGCCUGAUCUAGCCAUGCCGCGUGGAGUGAUGAAGGCCUUAGGG